GUGAGAUACCACUGACACAUUCUAGUCGUCUUACCCCUAUUUAAGAGCGACUCCUAGAAUACAAUGAUCAUUUCAUCUUCAUCUCAACUUUGCAACAAGAGAGUCACCUGCAAGGCCCUGCUCGAUUUCAGUGCUUUGCACUUUAUCUUGUAAAUAGUGAUCGUGAUUUUGAACUGCAGCUGAGGCUCCACUGCGAGAACAUUUGGAUUUUUUUUUCUCUCCCAGUUGUUACCAUUAUAUCCUUAUACUGUUAGCCGUCGGAACCAUGCAUGUGGGGGAGAGAUAAAGGAAAAACAGACAGAUGCAUCCAGGAUUUCUAUAUACCAAUGGAUGUUUUUAAUUUCUUAUUCUGCUGGAAGUUAGUCUCGCGAGCACAAACGAGCUGAUUGGUGAAAGAACUUUGUUUUGGCGAUCAAGGAUAGAUCGCAUUCUUUUAAAAAUCUAUGAUUUUACUCUCUUCGUAAAACCUAUCAUUGUGAUCUUAUUUUAGAGUGACCAGUAGGUCUUUGAUUAGGUUUCAUCUAUAUACUCAGGCAAAAUAAUUGUCUUUACAUAGCCCUACCUACUUUGAGUUUUUUUUUCUCAGUAAACACUAAAUAAACUGUAAAUUUUAACAUUUUGGGGAUCGUAAAGAGGGAAGAAAAACAAAAUCAGUCCACGAACGUCAUUCUGAUGUCAAGAGGGUUUCUUUCGAGAGGAAAAACUGAGAAAAGUGAAUUGUGAACCGACUGCUUCCGCUGGAUCCAAGCUGGAAGCUGAAGAAUCCAUUUCAGCUGCUCUACCGCUAAAACUCUUAACCAAUCCAUUCACCCGGACAAAACAAGCGAGAAGAGAAAAGGAAGAUCUCGCGCGCCUGAUCAAGCACCAAGGGGCUGGGAAUAUUAUUAUAUAUUUUUUUAUCUCUUCGGAUUUCGAGGUAUACGAAUAUCAUUUUGUUAUAAACUCAGUAUGGCUACUGUUUCGAUACUUGGUGGUUUGUUCGUGCUGCUUUUAUCCCUGGCGUGUGUACAACCUCAGCGGUGUCCCCCGUUCCCCAUUACGUGCACUGGAAGGGUUAAUCCCCAGAGAUGGGGUAAAAGAUCAUCAUCUUCAUCAUCAUUGACAUCAACCACGUCCUCAACAUCAGAUUCGCGACUCAUACAACAUAUCAGGAAUGCAGCUAAACUACUCUUACAUAAAAACACAGAACCUUCGACGCCAUUUCCACGUGAAGACGAUGAAGUCAGGAGAAAGCUUUCUGAUAUCCUAGACAAAUUGCAAUGGAAUUUAAAUCUUUGAAAUUGGGCUAUGUUUUCUGGAGGAUUAAGUUUACUUUUUUCUAGACCACCGUUAUAAUACACCUCGCUGAAAAUCAAGCAAGGACAACAUCAGCACAGUCUAAGUCAAACCCAACCAACACAUUGGACAAAACAUCUACGGCAGAUCAAAGCACCUAUGAAGUGAAUAGAAGAUUCAUCUAUUUCAUCUUUAGAGAUCUGUCGAGCCAAAGAGCGAGUCCUCAGAAUAGCUCAAUCUUCUCCUUCAACAGUCUAAAUUGGACAUCGUAAUCAGCUUAUAACGACUCACAAUUAUUUACCUAAACUACACGGUAGCUGUUUAUUCGCAAACAUUGCAAGUACCCUCAGACAUUUUCGACCAUAACUUGUUUUUUAAUCGAUUCGACCGAAUCCUUCAUAUUGGCCGACGUCCCACGAAAGAGAGGAAACCAAUUGCGACUCGUAUUACGCGAAGAUGUCAGAUUAUGAUCACUGAUCUCUUCUUUUCUGUCUAUUAAAACAACCGUCAUGACAGGAAGUCAGCAAGAGCUUCCAGAAAAGAGCAAAAUGGUACGACUGACGCUCAUUACGCUUGGGUUCGAUUUGAUCAAUUCUCUAUAUGGCAUGCAUAUAGUUAAUACAUUUCAAAAUAUUUGAUUUCCAUUGUCAUCUUAGAGUUCUGACUUUACUUUCCCAGUUAUGAAAUUAUCAUUUUAGAAUGACGUAGCAGCAUGUAUCUAUAGCAAAGGAAUUACAGUUCAAUGAAAUGAUCAGUCUUUACUUAUAUCACUAUUUGCAUUUAUAGCGUCAGUAAUAGAUUGUUACUAAAAUCAAUUACUUUGUCACCAAGAAUCAAUUUCAGCACCCUGUGUAAUGCACCUACGUGAAUGCCGUAUAGGAAAUGAUUUUAUCAUAGAAGUCAGAACUUGGUGCUUGUCGAGAGGUAUCGAAACAAUGUUAAUUUGUGAGAGAAAGAUCCUACAUAAAAGUAAAUAAUAAAAUACUA